GACGAACCGUGCGAACGUUAUUCGGAAUCACUGGGCUUAAAGCGCGUGUAGGCGGGCCGCCACGUCAGUCGCUGAAAUCCCCCGGCUCAACCGGGGAAGUGGCACUGAUACGAGCGGCCUGGAGGGAGGUAGGGGGGGCUGGAACUUCCGGUGGAGCGGUGAAAUGCGUUGAGAUCGGAAGGAACGCCCGUGGCGAAAGCGAGCCCCUGGACCUUUUCUGACGCUGAGACGCGAAAGCUAGGGGAGCGAACGGGG
rnacentral:rRNA from 1 species